UUGAACGCUGGCGGCAGGCCUAACACAUGCAAGUCGAACGGUAACAGGAAGCAGCUUGCUGCUUUGCUGACGAGUGGCGGACGGGUGAGUAAUGUCUGGGAAACUGCCUGAUGGAGGGGGAUAACUACUGGAAACGGUAGCUAAUACCGCAUAACGUCGCAAGACCAAAGAGGGGGACCUUCGGGCCUCUUGCCAUCGGAUGUGCCCAGAUGGGAUUAGCUAGUAGGUGGGGUAACGGCUCACCUAGGCGACGAUCCCUAGCUGGUCUGAGAGGAUGACCAGCCACACUGGAACUGAGACACGGUCCAGACUCCUACGGGAGGCAGCAGUGGGGAAUAUUGCACAAUGGGCGCAAGCCUGAUGCAGCCAUGCCGCGUGUAUGAAGAAGGCCUUCGGGUUGUAAAGUACUUUCAGCGGGGAGGAAGGGAGUAAAGUUAAUACCUUUGCUCAUUGACGUUACCCGCAGUAGAAGCACCGGCUAACUCCGUG
rnacentral:rRNA from 1 species